rnacentral:rRNA from 1 species
AUGGCAAUAUCAUUCAGUUAUCAAGGGAAAAGAAGAAUUCAUUGCACUGGUUUCAAUAAAAUGUUAGUCAAAAACCUCACCACAUCAGGAAUAUCAAGUCCACGUGCUGCCACAUUAGUGCAUAAUAAGAUGCCCUUUUCUGCCUUGCAGAAGUUAAAGAAUGUUGUAGUUCGUUUCUGCUGUUUUUGUUUCCCAUGGAUAUCUUCACACUCUAUCUGGAGAAAAUUUAGAAGCUCUGCAUGGAACUUUACUGAGCUACAUGAUGAAAAGAACACCAUGACCUUCUUAGACUGUUUCUUUUUUAGGAAAGCAUACAGAACCAAAAACCUCUUGUCGCUAGGAAUGACACAAUAG